CCCUUAGAUGUUCUGGGCCGCACGCGCGCUACACUGACGAAUGCAACGAGCUUAUAACCUUGGCCGAAAGGUCUGGGUAAUCUCCAAAUUUCGUCGUGAUGGGGAUAGAUUAUUGCAAUUAUUAAUCUUCAACGAGGAAUGCCUAGUAAGCGCAAGUCAUCAGCUUGCGUUGAUUACGUCCCUGCCCUUUGUACACACCGCCCGUCGCUCCUACCGAUUGAAUGGUCCGGUGAAGCGUUCGGACCGUGGCCUUUGGACGGUUCGCCGUCUGUUGGCUGCGGGAAGUUCGUUAAACCUUAUCAUUUAGAGGAAGGAGAAGUCGAAACA
rnacentral:rRNA from 1 species